rnacentral:rRNA from 1 species
AAUGCGUAGGAAUUUGCCUUGGAGUGGGGGAUAGCCCGAAGAAAUUCGGAUUAAUACCGCAUGAUCUCUAAGGAGCAAAGUGGGCCUCUGAUUUAAGCUCACGCUCUGAGAUGAGCCUACGUCGGAUUAGCUUGUUGGUAGGGUAAAGGCCUACCAAGGCGACGAUCCGUAGCUGGUCUGAGAGGAUGAUCAGCCACACUGGAACUGAGACACGGUCCAG